rfam:Glycine soja cultivar W05 scaffold198_40, whole genome shotgun sequence.
CUGACUCUUGGAGUUCCUCUGAACGCUUCAUAUGAGAGGCUACCUAGUAAAAAAAUCUUUCAUUAGUAAAGAUAGUCCUUCUUCAAUGAAGUGUUUGGGGGAACUCCGGGAUUCAA